UACCUGAUCCUCGCUGCCUUCAUCUCUAACGCCGCCUCCCCUCCACCUCCAUCUCGUCUCCAUCAUCUCCUCCUCCAAUCCUCGCUCACUAUCAAAACCCAAAAACAAAAGCCAAGAUCCCGCAUCUAGGGUUCAAUGCUCUGCCGCCUCCUCACCACUGCCCCUAUCCUACCUUAGCCCCCCCAAGGAGUUUGCAGAAUCAAAGGGAUUAUUCAGGAGGCUGAUAGUGCUGCUGAGCUGAAAAAACGAAAAAGGGUAACCAUGUAGGGAGUUGGAGAAAAGUCAAAAUGAGCUAGCCAACCAGGACCCUAUAUCGAGGAGCAAUAUGACGGUGGAAGAUUAUUGGCUAUAAUCUCUUUCUCCCUAGACAAUGCAUUCAAGCUAAUGAGAACCUGAAAGUGCUAUAACAAGAGAAGAGGAAAUGGCCUUGGCACAAGAAAAAGGAUGCUUGUUCUUGAAUGCAGUGGAAAAACACGAAUGAUUGUUGAGAAAAUGCUUUGGAAGACUUGGAGUAAAGCAGACAUAUUCUUGAAGAGAAAGAGCUAAAGUCGUACAUGAAGAAGCUCCAGAGGAAGAAGAGUAAGGGUUUAGCUGGAAACAGAUUAUAGAAAAAUGUUGUUCAUUAUACAUGAAUUUGUUCUUGAGUAAUUUGUUGCAUAAUCAGCUUGACUGAAUUUUUUUCUUGCAUCUUUUCUAUGUAAAAAAACAUGAGGAUGUUUUAAUUUGAUUAAAGGAAAUGAUGAAUGCGUUGUGUUUUUGUCUC